GAGGAAUAUUGGUCAAUGGACGGAAGUCUGAACCAGCCAAGUAGCGUGCAGGAAGACGGCCCUAUGGGUUGUAAACUGCUUUUGUAUGGGGAUAAAGUUAGGGACGUGUCCCUAUUUGCAGGUACCAUACGAAUAAGGACCGGCUAAUUCCGUGCCAGCAGCCGCGGUAAUACGGAAGGUCCAGGCGUUAUCCGGAUUUAUUGGGUUUAAAGGGAGCGUAGGCUGGAGAUUAAGUGUGUUGUGAAAUGUAGACGCUCAACGUCUGAAUUGCAGCGCAUACUGGUUUCCUUGAGUACGCACAACGUUGGCGGAAUUCGUCGUGUAGCGGUGAAAUGCUUAGAUAUGACGAAGAACUCCGAUUGCGAAGGCAGCUGACGGGAGCGCAACUGACGCUUAAGCUCGAAGGUGCGGGUAUCAAACAGGAUUAGAUACCCUGGUAGUCCGCACAGUAAACGAUGGAUGCCCGCUGUUGGUACCUGGUAUCAGCGGCUAAGCGAAAGCAUUAAGCAUCCCACCUGGGGAGUACGCCGGCAACGGUG
rnacentral:rRNA from 1 species